GUGCUCGCUUCGGCAGGGCAUAUACUAAAAUUGGAAUGAUACUGAGAAGAUUAGCAUGGCCCCUUCGCAAGGAUGAUAUGCAAAUUCUUAAAGCAUUCCAUUUUUUU
ensembl:snRNA U6 U6 spliceosomal RNA